rnacentral:rRNA from 1 species
UUGAACGCUGGCGGCAGGCCUAACACAUGCAAGUCGAACGGUAACAGGAAGCAGCUUGCUGUUUCGCUGACGAGUGGCGGACGGGUGAGUAAUGUCUGGGAAACUGCCUGAUGGAGGGGGAUAACUACUGGAAACGGUAGCUAAUACCGCAUAACGUCGCAAGACCAAAGAGGGGGACCUUCGGGCCUCUUGCCAUCGGAUGUGCCCAGAUGGGAUUAGCUAGUAGGUGGGGUAACGGCUCACCUAGGCGACGAUCCCUAGCUGGUCUGAGAGGAUGACCAGCCACACUGGAACUGAGACACGGUCCAGACUCCUACGGGAGGCAGCAGUGGGGAAUAUUGCACAAUGGGCGCAAGCCUGAUGCAGCCAUGCCGCGUGUAUGAAGAAGGCCUUCGGGUUGUAAAGUACUUUCAGCGGGGAGGAAGGGAGUAAAGUUAAUACCUUUGCUCAUUGACGUUACCCGCAGAAGAAGCACCGGCUAACUCCGUGCCAGCAGCCGCGGUAAUACGGAGGGUGCAAGCGUUAAUCGGAAUUACUGGGCGUAAAGCGCACGCAGGCGGUUUGUUAAGUCAGAUGUGAAAUCCCCGGGCUCAACCUGGGAACUGCAUCUGAUACUGGCAAGCUUGAGUCUCGUAGAGGGGGGUAGAAUUCCAGGUGUAGCGGUGAAAUGCGUAGAUAUUAGGAGGAACACCAGUGGCGAAGGCGGCUUGCUGGGCCUUUACUGACGCUGAGGCUCGAAAGCGUGGGGAGCAAACAGGAUUAGAUACCCUGGUAGUCCACGCCGUAAACGAUGUCGACUUGGAGGUUGUGCCCUUGAGGCGUGGCUUCCGGAGCUAACGCGUUAAGUCGACCGCCUGGGGAGUACGUCCGCAAGGUUAAAACUCAAAUGAAUUGACGGGGGCCCGCACAAGCGGUGGAGCAUGUGGUUUAAUUCGAUGCAACGCGAAGAACCUUACCUGGUCUUGACAUCCACGGAAGUUUUCAGAGAUGAGAAUGUGCCUUCGGGAACCGUGAGACAGGUGCUGCAUGGCUGUCGUCAGCUCGUGUUGUGAAAUGUUGGGUUAAGUCCCGCAACGAGCGCAACCCUUAUCCUUUGUUGCCAGCGGUCCGGCCGGGAACUCAAAGGAGACUGCCAGUGAUAAACUGGAGGAAGGUGAGGAUGACGUCAAGUCAUCAUGGCCCUUACGACCAGGGCUACACACGUGCUACAAUGGCGCAUACAAAGAGAAGCGACCUCGCGAGAGCAAGCGGACCUCAUAAAGUGCGUCGUAGUCCGGAUUGGAGUCUGCAACUCGACUCCAUGAAGUCGGAAUCGCUAGUAAUCGUGGAUCAGAAUGCCACGGUGAAUACGUUCCCGGGCCUUGUACACACCGCCCGUCACACCAUGGGAGUGGGUUGCAAAAGAAGUAGGUAGCUUAACCUUCGGGAGGGCGCUUACCACUUUGUGAUUCAUGACUGGGGUG